UAGUAUAAAUUUGAAUUAUAAAUUUUUAAAUUAGUAAUUAUUUUAAAAUUAAAAAUUAAAAAAUUUGGCGGUAUUUUUAAAAAUUAGAGGAUUUUGUUUAUUAAUUGAUAAUACACAAUAUAUUUUACUUAGUUUAUUUAAUUUAUAUAUCGUUAUCAUAAAAAUAUCUUUAAAAAGUAUUUUUAAAAAAUAUUUUUAAAAAAUAUGUUAAAUCAAGAUAUAGUUUAUAAUUAAGAUUAAAAUGAAAUACAAUAAUUAAAUAAUUAUUAAAUUAAAUUUGAAAUAUUUUUUUAAUAGUGGAUUUAAUAGUAAAUUAAUAAAUAUAUAUUUAUUGAAUAUUUUUAAAAAUAUGUACAUAUUGCCCGUCGCUUUUAUUUUAUUAAAAUAA
rnacentral:rRNA from 1 species